rnacentral:rRNA from 1 species
UGCAAGUCGAACGCUUUGUGGUUCAACUGAUUUGAAGAGCUUGCUCAGAUAUGACGAUGGACAUUGCAAAGAGUGGCGAACGGGUGAGUAACACGUGGGAAACCUACCUCUUAGCAGGGGAUAACAUUUGGAAACAGAUGCUAAUACCGUAUAACAAUGACAACCGCAUGGUUGUUAUUUAAAAGAUGGUUCUGCUAUCACUAAGAGAUGGUCCCGCGGUGCAUUAGCUAGUUGGUAAGGUAAUGGCUUACCAAGGCGAUGAUGCAUAGCCGAGUUGAGAGACUGAUCGGCCACAAUGGGACUGAGACACGGCCCAUACUCCUACGGGAGGCAGCAGUAGGGAAUCUUCCACAAUGGGCGAAAGCCUGAUGGAGCAACGCCGCGUGUGUGAUGAAGGGUUUCGGCUCGUAAAACACUGUUGUAAGAGAAGAAUGACAUUGAGAGUAACUGUUCAAUGUGUGACGGUAUCUUACCAGAAAGGAACGGCUAAAUACGUGCCAGCAGCCGCGGUAAUACGUAUGUUCCAAGCGUUAUCCGGAUUUAUUGGGCGUAAAGCGAGCGCAGACGGUUAUUUAAGUCUGAAGUGAAAGCCCUCAGCUCAACUGAGGAAUUGCUUUGGAAACUGGAUGACUUGAGUGCAGUAGAGGAAAGUGGAACUCCAUGUGUAGCGGUGAAAUGCGUAGAUAUAUGGAAGAACACCAGUGGCGAAGGCGGCUUUCUGGACUGUAACUGACGUUGAGGCUCGAAAGUGUGGGUAGCAAACAGGAUUAGAUACCCUGGUAGUCCACACCGUAAACGAUGAGUGCUAGGUGUUUGAGGGUUUCCGCCCUUAAGUGCCGCAGCUAACGCAUUAAGCACUCCGCCUGGGGAGUACGACCGCAAGGUUGAAACUCAAAGGAAUUGACGGGGACCCGCACAAGCGGUGGAGCAUGUGGUUUAAUUCGAAGCAACGCGAAGAACCUUACCAGGUCUUGACAUCCCUUGACAACUCCAGAGAUGGAGCGUUCCCUUCGGGGACAAGGUGACAGGUGGUGCAUGGUUGUCGUCAGCUCGUGUCGUGAGAUGUUGGGUUAAGUCCCGCAACGAGCGCAACCCUUAUUACUAGUUGCCAGCAUUCAGUUGGGCACUCUAGUGAGACUGCCGGUGACAAACCGGAGGAAGGUGGGGAUGACGUCAAAUCAUCAUGCCCCUUAUGACCUGGGCUACACACGUGCUACAAUGGCGUAUACAACGAGUUGCCAACCCGCGAGGGUGAGCUAAUCUCUUAAAGUACGUCUCAGUUCGGAUUGUAGGCUGCAACUCGCCUACAUGAAGUCGGAAUCGCUAGUAAUCGCGGAUCAGCACGCCGCGGUGAAUACGUUCCCGGGUCUUGUACACACCGCCCGUCACACCAUGAGAGUUUGUAACACCCAAAGCCGGUGGGGUAACCUUCGGGAGCCAGCCG